rnacentral:rRNA from 1 species
AUACGGAGGGUGCGAGCGUUGUCCGGAAUCACUGGGCGUAAAGGGCGCGUAGGCGGCGCAGUAAGUAGGGGGUGAAAUCUCACGGCUCAACCGUGAAACUGCCUCCUAAACUGCUGUGCUUGAGCACGGUAGAGGCAGAUGGAAUUCCCGGUGUAGCGGUGGAAUGCGUAGAUAUCGGGAAGAACACCAGUGGCGAAGGCGGUCUGCUGGGCCGUUACUGACGCUGAGGCGCGACAGCGUGGGGAGCAAACAGGAUUAGAUACCCGAGUAGUCC